UACGAGCAAUAGCUUAAAAACCCAAGAAUUUGGCGGUGUCUUAUUCAAUCAGAGGAAUCUGUCUCAUAAUCGACAGCCCACGAAAAAUAUACCUGUUAUUCAAAGCUUUAGCUUGUGUACUGCCGACUAUAUAGGCCCUUAAAGUAACCUAUAAUAAAUUUAUAUAAAUCAUGUGUCAGGUCAAAGUGCAGCUUAUAUACAGGAGAAGAUGGAUUACAGUCUAUAAAAUAGUCAAAAGUAUAUUAAAAUAAAUAUACUUAAGAAGAAUUUGAUAGUAAUGGUAUUAACAAAAUAACAUGAAAAUGAACUUAAGACAAGCACACAUCGCCCGUCGCUCUUA
rnacentral:rRNA from 1 species